rnacentral:rRNA from 1 species
UACGUAGGGCGCAAGCGUAUCCGGAAUUAUUGGGCGUAAAGAGCUCGUAGGCGGCUUGUCACGUCUGCUGUGAAAUCCCGGGGCUCAACCCCGGGCGUGCAGUGGAUACGGGCUGGCUAGAGGCAGGCAGGGGAGAACGGAAUUCCCGGUGUAGCGGUGAAAUGCGCAGAUAUCAAGAGGAACACCUGCGGCGAAGGCGGGUUGCUGGGCCGACACUGACGCUGAGGCGCGAAAGCUAGGGGAGCGAACGGG